CAUGGUGUACUUUAAAUAAUUAAGCUACCUUUAUUUAUAAAAUGAUCAUAUUACUAUAAUUUUUAGUCAGUCCACAAGGGCUUAUAAUAAUUUAACUUACUUUGGUGUAACAAAUUGCGUUAAGUAUUACAUUAGCAACCCUAUUUAUAGUGAGUCUUAUAAACAAUUCCAUCAAAUUAGUUAGCUUGAAACACUAAGCAUGAAGGUAGUUUUCAUUGCUGUUUUAUUGUUGUCGCUAUUCGGUCAUAUACUUGGCCUAAAGGAUCCAAUCUGUGGCCUGUAUCCAGAAUUUCAUGGACUGUGCAAGAAGACGGCUCGAGGAUUUACCUAUGUAGCCUUGCGUAAUAAAUGCAAGCACACUAGUGGAAAUUGUAGGGGAUCCGGAAACUUUUUCACAAAGAUGGUUUAUUGCGAGGCGAAGUGCAAGAAGUGAUAACCAAAUAUCUAAACAUAAUGCAAUAAUAAACAGCCAACAGUUUUAAUAUGUGUA